CCCUGUGGCUCAGUUGGUAGAGCAUGGUGUUUGCAGCGCCAGCAUGGUGUGUGCAACGCCAGGGUUGUGGGUUCGAUUCCCACUGGGG
rnacentral:tRNA from 1 species